CUUGAAUGGACCUGGAAAUGUUCUUGUACGUUCUUUUAUACUGUUCUGUAUCCAUCAGUGAACAGGUGAUAAGAGUUACAAAUUUCUCUGUUUAGAAGGAGCUUUCAUCUCCUGAAGAAAAAUGAGAAGUUACUUCGAGAACUCAGAAAUUUGGACUCAAGACAAUGCCGAGAGACACACAAGAUCGCAGUGUUUUAUGUUGCUGAGGGACAAGAAGAUAAACACUCCAUUCUUACUAAUACUGGAGGAAGUCAAGCCUAUGAGGAUUUUGUAGCCGGACUUGGCUGGGAGGUAAAUCUCACAAACCAUUGUGGCUUUAUGGGAGGACUGCAAAAAAACAAAAGCACUGGAUUGACUACUCCAUAUUUUGCUACCUCGACAGUAGAAGUGAUGUUCCAUGUGUCAACAAGAAUGCCUUCUGAUUCAGAUGACUCUCUAACAAAAAAGGUAGGUGUUUAAUAACAAGUUUUCUUUUGGUAAUAAAUCCAGAAAAACUAGAGUCGAAGAAAAUCAGGUAACUUUUUCUAAAAAAA